AACGCACAUUGCGCCCUUUGGAAUUCCAAAGGGCAUGCCUGUUCGAGCGUCAUUAUCACCCCUCAAGCUCAGCUUGAUGUUGGACGGUCGGUUUUUGGCCUCUGCGAAAAACCCCUCCCAAAGAUAACGACGGCGGCUUGUUCACCCCCGGUACACUGAGCUUCUUAACUGAGCACGUAUCGGUUUUUUAAAAGGUGGCAGGGCCCGGUCUUCUUCCUUUAUUGGAAAAUCCUUCUCAAGGUUGACCUCGGAUCAGGUAGGGAUACCCGCUGAACUUAA
rnacentral:misc_RNA from 1 species